rnacentral:tRNA from 1 species
CCGGUGGUGUAAGGCGAACAUCGCUGCCCGGAAAGCAGAAGAUGCGGGUUCGAGUCCCGCCUGG